rnacentral:rRNA from 1 species
CGGAGGAUCCAAGCGUUAUCCGGAAUCAUUGGGUUUAAAGGGUCCGUAGGCGGGUUUAUAAGUCAGUGGUGAAAGCCCAUCGCUCAACGAUGGAACGGCCAUUGAUACUGUAGAUCUUGAAUUAUUAGGAAGUAACUAGAGUAUGUAGUGUAGCGGUGAAAUGCUUAGAGAUUACAUGGAAUACCAAUUGCGAAGGCAGGUUACUACUAAUGGAUUGACGCUGAUGGACGAAAGCGUGGGUAGCGAACAGGAUUAGAUACCCUGGUAGUCCACGCCGUAAACGAUGGAUACUAGCUGUUCGGAGCAAUCUGAGUGGCUAAGCGAAAGUGAUAAGUAUCCCACCUGGGGAGUACGUUCGCAAGAAUG